rnacentral:lncRNA from 1 species
UUUUUAGGGCUGCACCUGAGGCAUAUGGAAGUUCCCAAGUGAGGGCUGAAUCAGAGCUGCAGCUGGUGACUACACCACAGCCAUAGAAACACAAGAUCCGAGCUGAGUCUGUGACCUCCAUCACAGCUCACAGCAAUGCCAGACCCCUAAGCCACUGAGCAAGGCUGGGGAUCAAACCCGAAUCCUCAUGGAUACCAGUCGGGUUUGUUACUGCUGAGCCAGGAUGGGAACUCCUGCAGUCUGUUUCUAUAAAGAGCAUGAACCAAUUUGGGGUUUGUGCCCAGCAGACCAAAUGUAAUGCAGAGCUAAUUUUAAAAAUUGGUCCUGAAUAUCUGAUUUUAUGAAGGUCAAAAAAAGUGAACGUGUCAAAUUUUGUGAGUACUGUUUAUAUUCCUUUCGUCUUCCUCAUAGCAAAUGAAAAAAAAAAGUAAAAUAGUACAGCUACUGCAUGAAAUCUGAUAAAGGAUACUCUCAUGAGUAUUUAGGUUUGUUCUUUUCCUAGAAUAUGGUAUGUGAUUUUCUCCAAAUGAGACAAAUUAAGAAUUCUUAAAAUGGUAAUAUGCUUUUCCAAAUGAAGAUCAUUUCUACUAAAUUACUCUUUUUUUCAGACAAUUCUAAAUUGAAUCUUGAUCAUUAUCCCAAACCCAAAUACUAUAAUUUCAUAAAUAGAAAGGCUCAUGAAAUACAGUAUUUUCUAUGAAAACAGUUGUUUCAAUGAACAUUACAAGAAGGCUAAUCAAGGAAGGGGCAGAACUGCUAUUUUGUAGGUGUUGGAUAGAGAUCUGGAGGGUUGUUGGGUAGAAGGUUGGUAAAUCUCUAUAAAAAUUCAAAAGAUUUAUACUGAAACCUAACAGGGCAAAAUGAGAGAAUCCUGACAAAUGGCAAGUGACAAGGAAGGACAAUGAGAGGCCUGAAAUAAAGUCUCCAUGAGACAGGGCUGACUGUGUACCCAGUGGGGGCAGGAGGCCAAAGUGGGAUAGAGACCCCACAGUUAUAAACUGCUGGCCCCUAGAACAUGUUCCAACACUUAAGAGGGAACCAGCUUGUACCCCGAGAAUACGGUUGUGUAAUCAAAUAAAAAGUGCUAUCCCACUGCCUUAGGCCAAUAUCAUGACUUUGAACUACUGUCACAGAGGGAGGAAUUUAUACCAGCCUCAAUGGCAACCACUGGAACAAAAAGCCCAGCCUCUGGGUCAGCACUUCAGGUCCAAGAGGACAGUGAUGCUCUUCCAUGUUAAGCGUGGUCUUAGCGGUGAUCACAGACAACUCCAUGACUAUCUGAGUUUGACCUUAGAUCUCUGCUUGAGCAGCUCCUUUUGAGCAACUAUCUCUAGAAACAAUUCUGAGGUCAUCAGCCUCCUAGUUGCCCUGACCUAGUUGAAGCUGGACCCAGCACCAAGGCAAGGAGGGACACUUUCUAAGGCAUGAGCCAGUACCCUGAGGGAUUUUUGGACAUCUCAGGGGUGAUGUGUGAGGGAAGCAGAUGGACUUCCUGAUAAAGAAAACAUCUAUAGGACACUGAAAAGAGACUGUAAUGUUCCAUAAUGUUCAAAGAACACUUGAAGUAAAAAAAAACUAUUUGUGAAUAUACUCUGUAUUUGACAUCAUAUUGGAAAUCAUAUUGGUUUAGACAGUUCUGCUGAAACUAGUUUUUUUUUUUAACUUCCUGCUUUCAAGCCAACAGAAAUAGUAUCCAGCAUCUAAGUUCUAAUACCUGUUUUCAUUUGAAGUGAAAAUUUAAUCAUAAAACUCAGAUUACAGCACUAAUCGGCCAUCAAGAUCACAUAAACAUUGUAAGUACAUUUUAUACUUAAGAUAAAUGUGUUUUGAGUGCAAAAAAUUCUGAUGACUAGAAUUGAAUUCAUUAAAUCUAUAUUAAAUAUAGAUUUUUCCAUAAGAUUGCAUGGAAACCUAGUAAUGUGAAAGGGAACAGUAACUGAACUUCCAUCAUUUUUACAGUUUAAUGUUAUGUUUUGCUACUGCUAAAAUCCAUAUGUUCCCAUAUAUCCUCUUUGGCAUUUAACUUUUUUGAAAAUAAAUAUGGUUAGAUAUUAGAAUUUCAUUUUAUUCCACAUUUCCCUUCAGUCUUUGAGUGAGGUUUCUGAUUUCAAAAUUCCAGUUGUGCUUUUUCCAAAAUGAAGAUUAUCUUCCUUUUUAGCUCAUGAAAUCAUUUCUUUUAAGGUUAAUUUUGAUUUCUGCUUUCAAAUAAAAUAUUCCUCCUUUAGGUACUUUUAAAAAGCCAGGGACUGUCAAGGUAUCACUGUCCAACACAUAUAUAUUUUACAUCAAACCUCAGGUAGUGAUGAUUCAUGAGUUAGUAGUAAAAGGUGUUCAGAAUAGAAGCUAGACCAGGAUGAGUUUGUAAGGUGCAUGUUAAGAUGGAAAAUGGGUAAGAAGGGCUCAUUCAGUUUCAGUUCAUGAAGUUCAUAAUAAACAAUUAAAUAACUGUAAUUAAAUCUCCAUUUACUCAGCAUUCCAGAACAGCACACUCAAAUCCAGUCUUCAGGGUAAGUAAGUAAUAACCUUUAUAAAAACUACAUUCAUUAAUUCUUAUAAUAAAGAAUGUAACAAAAACAAUAAAAAAUAAAUGUGUGUUUAAGAGCACUGCUGGCAUUUAAGGUCUCGACAGGCUUAACUGGACUCCAAAAUUAAUACGCACCUGCAGAAAUAAAAUAAACAACACUAAAAUUAAUAUGCAUUUAUUUCAGUACUGGGUAAGAGUAGCAAUUAACGUGGGCAAGAAAGGAGUUUAAGAAUGAAACACCUGUGGGUAUUAAAAAUAGUAACAUGCCCCUUUAAAAUGAGUUCUGUUGCUAUGAACAAUAUUCAAGACAUGUGGAAGGGGAGAUUUAUAGUAUCAUAAAAGUGUGAUUGCUGGACUCAUAGCAUUCUUGGGUCUCAAUAAUACCCUUCUUCUAUAUAUAAGACAAAUUGGAUUAUACAAAGAAAUGAAAACCUGACUCUGGCUUUUCAGAAGAUCACACUGAGAUCGGAGACCCAGGGCAUACCCAUAAGAAACAAACAGAACAGGAGUUCCCGUUGUGGCGCAGUGGUUAAAGAAUCCGACUAGGAACCAUGAGGUUGCGGGUUUGGUCCCUGGCCUUGCUCAGUGGGUUAACGAUCCGGCGUUGCCGUGAGCUGUGGUGUAGGUUGCAGACGCAGCUCGGAUGCCACGUUGCUGUGGCUCUGGCAUAGGCCGGAGGCUACAGCUCCAAUUUGACCCCUAGCCUGGGAACCUCCAUAUGCCUCGGGAGCGGCCCAAGAAACAACAAAAAGAAAAAAAAAAAAAAAAGAAAAGAAAAGAAACAAACAGAACAAUCGCAAAAAUGUGCAUACACAGCCAUUUGCAAGAUACUUUCCUUACGUUAUUUCACCAGCCCCCAAAUAAUCUAAUAAUAUGGGAAGAGAGGACAGUCAUUAUUGUUAUCUGUGGGCUCAGGAGUUUGAAAAGCUCACUUCUGUCAUAAAUUAGUAAUAAUUUAAUCAAAGAAUCACAGACUUUAUAGGCUCAGGCACUGAGAUAAGCAGCUGAGGGCAACAUCUUAAUUACACCUCACAACGAUCCUAGGAGAGAAGAGUAAUUAUAUUCUCAUUUCAGAAAUAAGAAAAAAAUAAAGCUUAUUUAAUAUCUUUCCUAAUACACAGCCAAUUAAGUGAUAGAGUUAGGAUGGAGGAUUUGAACUUCCGUCCAAAUGACUCAGAGCCCAUAUCCUUUAGAGUAGCCCGCCCUCCUGUUAACCUAGCUCUAAGAGGGUGACAGAUUUCAACUUCUCUGAACUUGAGUAUCCCCGUGAAAUAUAAUAUAGCUACCAACAUUUGUGUCUGGGGAUGUUGUGUGGAUUAAUGGCAUGACUUUUGAUAAGUUCUUGCCCCAGAAAAUGCUGCAUUAAAAGUAGACUCCUCCCUCUCGCCUCUCCCUUAAUUUGUAUCCCCAGGAUCUCACAGCUAGUAAAUGGCAGAUACAGCACUGAGACCCUUGUCCUCUGACUCCAUGCUCCCACAUUGCCCCAAGUCUCUUUCUAUAAUAUCCUUGCGCUGUGCUAUAUCCAGAGGAGACAUUUCAGUCUGUUCAUAGUGUUACCGCUGUUCUAUGACUUGCAUGUCCACUGUCUAUAGUAGAUAAGAGCAAGCAGCUGGUACUCCUCAACAUUCACUAGGCACUCAUUUGAAAGACCUGUUUCUCUGUAAGCUUCAAAACAAUCACUGACCAUUCCAUCUUUUCAUUGUUUUUUUUUUUUUUUUUUUUUUUUUUUGUGGUCAUGUGGGGGAAGUGGAGAGGUUGGGUGCCAGACAAGAUGUGCUAAGUGACAUAAAACAAAGCGUUCUACAAACAAAGGAAGUCAUAGAGAUUAGUUCUGUGGACUUACAUUUGGAAACCAUACUGCAAGUGUAUCAUUAAAAUCAUUACGGCAACCAGCUGACAAAGUGUUAUUUCUAAAAAGAACAGCAGACUUCAACUGACAUAGCUUAUUCAUUGGGUCCCCUCUUUGGGUAUUCCUUACUCUGCUCUCAGAAGUGUUUUAGAAUUUUUCUAUGAUCUCAAACAAAUUGAUUGAGAAAGUGCAGCUUCUAUGCUAAACUUGUACAAAAACACAAAGACAGUCAAGUUCUCCCUUAGGUAGUUAACUUUCUGACCAGCUUUGGAGGCUCAUGGACAUUAAGAUGCAGUGAGUUAUGUUUUGAAAUGCCUGAGCUGUAUCUUGAGGUUUGAAGACCAGAUAAUUUAGGAUCUUAAUAAUUACUUGUAAGAAUAAUCACUCCUAAUCAUAAUAAUCACUUGCAAUAAUGUUAAUGACAAUAAUAUUGCACAGUGACAAUUCUUCCAGUUCUGACAGUAAUGGGAAGCGACCUCCUCUGCUGAGGAACAAUGCAAAUCAGAGGUGAGAACUCACAGUGGAUCUCUGAAUUAUUCAUGAGCUCAUACAUGUCACUUGCAUCUGUACGCUAAACAAAAAAACCACAAAAGUGUAAUAGCACAUUAGUGAUGCAAAUUACAGAAAGGCAGAUUUGAUUCUGGUUUAGCGAAGAUUCUCAAAAUUCAGUCCAAAUAGCAUUUUUACCAAAAGUAAAGUCCCUGUUUUUUUAUUCUUUACAUUUGCUAGAAUUCAUUUGCUUGGCCAGGUCAGUAUUUUGGGCUUUUUCAUUUCAUUCAGUUCUGAUUUAUCCAUUUUUGUCAGCUUCUAAUGCACACCAGCAACAUUAAUCAAGUCACUCUCACAAUUUCUCUGAGAGCAAUUCAAGAGAGGUUGUAUCAUAAGGACACUUAGAAGGUGAGUAUCAAUAUAUGUACAAAUGAGGGAAAAUAAUUUUUUAAACAGAUUAAAAAUAUAUGAGAGAGAAAAAAGAAUAAAGCAACUGUGGUUAAAAUGUUAACAUUGGGGAAUUCUUAGAACUGUUCUUGCAACUUUUCAGUAAGUCUGAAAUUAUGCCAAGAUAAAAUAUUAAAAAAAAAACAAUAACAUUGCCACUCAAUCUGUCACUGCACUAAAUGAGCAUGGGCCAUGGAAUAAAGGAUGGGAGGUGAGAGCCUCAGUUAGCUAUAGUUAACACUUCCCUCCAAGCAUGAGCAUUAUGCCACACUGGGUGUGAGUCUAGGAUUUUAACACACAUAUUUGUUGUGUAAAACAAUGUUUUUAAAAAUUCACAUAUGCAUUUUUAGCAUAUACCAUGUAUUAUACACUUAGGCAUACUAAUUGUUAAACAGGAUUAAAGCUCUAUAUAUUACAUUUUAAGGGUGAUGUGAGGUUUUCAAGGGUGAUUAUGGCUGGGUAUGAGUUUUGCUCUAUGUGACAACUUUAAGUCUUGUCCCUCUGUAAGAUGUGACUCCACUGAACUCUGACUUACAGGUGAAGAAAGAAGUUAUACAAAUGAAUGACUUAGUCUUAUCUUGAUGGCUACUCUAUACUCAUAAAAUCAAGAGAAUGAAAAGUCCAUAGUUUAGCAUUCCAUUCCCUUUUCUGCACUCUGUGCCCUUUUCAGCAUCUGCCAUCACUAAGAGGCCACACCCAUGAAGUACUCUGGUGGCCCUGGUCCCUAAAUGAAAACAUCCUAUAAACUUAAUGUGCUAUGUGUCCCAGGAGUAUUUAGAGGGGAAAAAAACGCUGUCUGGGAAAAGUAUCAAACAAAAGGAAAUCUGACAAAUCUGAGUCUUUAGUGGGAAGAAAUAUUGGUCCAGGGCAGUUCCUGUAGCUCUCUGAUUAUUAAUUAUGCUGACAUAUUUAUUCCAUUUAUUUCUUGCCUGCUUUAACCUCUACUACCACUGAGUUCAAGUUACAUGUAUUACAAAAUGGCAAGCCUAUUAUAGGUAUACUAUGUACAUUAUAACAUAGGACAAGCUUGGCUAAGGAAAUUUUUAUUUGGUAUGUCAGCAUGUGCACCUUUUGGAGAUCUGCUUAUUGUUGUAGCUGUUUAGGCUUAGAAAUAGAUGUGAAAUGUAGUCAGAAGGGCCUAGGAGUAAGAGUUGAAAGAUCUAUUACAAACUAUAUGUUUGCCAAGUUACAAAAUCUCUCUUUGCUUCAUUUUCAUAAUCUGAAAAAGGUAUGAAGAUCAUUCAAUGUCUUAAUAAUUACUUUUGGUCAUAGUCAUCACCUGUGAAAAUGUUACUAACAAUAUGCCCUGCCUAGCUCACAGGACCAAAAGAGAUGUUUAGGAAAGCACUUUAUAAUCUCUAAAGUAUGACAUAAAUGCAACACAAGAGACUGUGAUUGUUAAUUUUAUGUGUUAACUUGAUUGGGUAUGGAGUACUCAGAUAUUUGGUUACACAUUAUUCUGGGAAUGUUUGUUGAGGGUGGUUCUGGAUGCAUGACUGGAACAAUCUGCAGAUAUUGAGAUUUCUCAGCCUUUGUAAUCCCAUGAGUCAGUUGUCCUUUUAAUAAAUUAGGCAGAUAAGAUGAUAGGUAGAUCUCCUAUUGGUUAUUCUACUAUAUAUCACAUAUAUGUAUAUUUACAUGUGUCAUAUGUAUUUAUCUCUCAUUGAUACUGUUUCACUAGACAACCACUAGCUAAGUAAAAUAUUUCUUAAACCUGUUAGUUGAAUAAAUCAAAAGAAUUUCUAAGGAACAGGUGUAUCAGUAAAACAGUUUCAUCAUAAAAUCUAUGCCCAGAGAUCAGUCUGAAAAUCUUCACCCUUCUCCACUAUAUCUAAAAAUUAAGAAAAGGGCUGAAGGGCCUGAGACUAUACAGGACCAUCUGAGCUUAUGUCUGGGACCAUCUAUCUCCACUCAGCUGUCCUCUUCCUCCCUCAACUGCUUCGCAGUCACACCAAAGAAAAGCAAAUGAGAUUGCGUAGUUUAAAAAAUGAGAAAUCACAAAGCACUGUAUUAGGCAUAAAUUAGCAUUCUGAAUCCAGUUUAUCUCACUGUGAUGAUGGCUCAUGUGUUUUCUGUUUCUUUGGAGAAAGUGUCUGUGUACCUGGUCAUUGCCCCCUUCUCACAGUGGUGCUUGUUUUCCAUUAACAUGGGCUGUAAUAAUUGUAUGCUAUUCAUUGUCUUCACAGGCUUUGGUUGUUAUUAUUGUCCUUAAAUCUUAUCUAGAUUAAGCAUUUAAGACAUUAAAUGCCCAUAGGGAAAAUUUAAAUAAGGAAAUAUCAGCAGAGGCAUGAUCUCCAUCAUUGAUAAUGAAACAUAGCCUCAAUUUGAUCUGCUUGCAGGACUACAUUUCUAUAAUGGUUCUUGUCAAACACAAUAGACUAAAUGGGAAGGGGAAAAAAAGGUCUGGGUUAGUCUGCCCUCUAGUGUAGUUUACUGGUUCCUAAAAUAAACUAGAGGAACGUGUCCUGGAAGCUGAUGGAGCAAUCCUGUCCGGAUGGCAAGUUGCCAUUUUCGCAGGCACCAGAUUGUCACAGCUCCCUCCUCUUCAGGAGCUACAGACUUUUCUAGCAUUAGGUCACCUUUCUAACCUAGUUUUCAAAAGAAAUGCAUAUGAACCACACCCUCCUGGACCUGAGCCUGCUUCAAGUCAGCAUUACACAGAUGUCCUUGACCAGAGUUUUUGCCAUUUGCUACCAUUUCAGAACAGGGGUGCAAAUAAAUAAAAAGACACAUUUCUGAGUUCUGAAAUGAAGGCUUUAGAAUUGGCUUCUGAGGUGGAGAUAUUUGGUCUAAGCACUGUUAUUAGUGUGAGCUAAUCUCUCUGGGACAGUCUGGGCUGUCUAUAGAAUAAAGCACUCUUAGUCCUUAGCAGUUCUCUGAACGUGAGUUUGCUGCAGUAUGGAUUCCAUGCUGGACUCUGUGGGCCAUGUUAGCAGCAAGGAAACAUCUUUGUGUUCUCUGUUUUAUAUCUUCCUGUGAUUUCUGCUUUAGAGUUGGGAACUCAAAUGCCCUGGAGGAAAGUUUUUGAAAAAUCUGUAGCUUAUACUCAACCACAUUA